rnacentral:rRNA from 1 species
UACAGAGGGUGCGAGCGUUGUCCGGAAUCAUUGGGCGUAAAGAGCUCGUAGGCGGUCUGUUACGUCCGCUGUGAAAACCCAGGGCUUAACCCUGGGCUUGCAGUGGAUACGGGCAGACUAGAGGCAGGUAGGGGAGAAUGGAAUUCCCGGUGUAGCGGUGAAAUGCGCAGAUAUCGGGAGGAACACCGGUGGCGAAGGCGGUUCUCUGGGCCUGACCUGACGCUGAGGAGCGAAAGCGUGGGGAGCGAACAGG